GCCUUCGUGGUGCAGCGGUCAGCACAUUCGGCGCGUAUUGAAGAGGUCCUUGGUUCGAGUCCUGGCGAGGGCA
rnacentral:tRNA from 1 species